rnacentral:rRNA from 1 species
CAUUAUUUGACCCAGGUGCGCAGCUAUCAUGCAGUCGUACGCUUCUUUUUCCACCGGAGCUUGCUCCACCGGAAAAAGAAGAGUGGCGAACGGGUGAGUAACACGUGGGUAACCUGCCCAUCAGAAGGGGAUAACACUUGGAAACAGGUGCUAAUACCGUAUAACAAUCGAAACCGCAUGGUUUUGAUUUGAAAGGCGCUUUCGGGUGUCGCUGAUGGAUGGACCCGCGGUGCAUUAGCUAGUUGGUGAGGUAACGGCUCACCAAGGCCACGAUGCAUAGCCGACCUGAGAGGGUGAUCGGCCACAUUGGGACUGAGACACGGCCCAAACUCCUACGGGAGGCAGCAGUAGGGAAUCUUCGGCAAUGGACGAAAGUCUGACCGAGCAACGCCGCGUGAGUGAAGAAGGUUUUCGGAUCGUAAAACUCUGUUGUUAGAGAAGAACAAGGAUGAGAGUAACUGUUCAUCCCUUGACGGUAUCUAACCAGAAAGCCACGGCUAACUACGUGCCAGCAGCCGCGGUAAUACGUAGGUGGCAAGCGUUGUCCGGAUUUAUUGGGCGUAAAGCGAGCGCAGGCGGUUUCUUAAGUCUGAUGUGAAAGCCCCCGGCUCAACCGGGGAGGGUCAUUGGAAACUGGGAGACUUGAGUGCAGAAGAGGAGAGUGGAAUUCCAUGUGUAGCGGUGAAAUGCGUAGAUAUAUGGAGGAACACCAGUGGCGAAGGCGGCUCUCUGGUCUGUAACUGACGCUGAGGCUCGAAAGCGUGGGGAGCAAACAGGAUUAGAUACCCUGGUAGUCCACGCCGUAAACGAUGAGUGCUAAGUGUUGGAGGGUUUCCGCCCUUCAGUGCUGCAGCUAACGCAUUAAGCACUCCGCCUGGGGAGUACGACCGCAAGGUUGAAACUCAAAGGAAUUGACGGGGGCCCGCACAAGCGGUGGAGCAUGUGGUUUAAUUCGAAGCAACGCGAAGAACCUUACCAGGUCUUGACAUCCUUUGACCACUCUAGAGAUAGAGCUUCCCCUUCGGGGGCAAAGUGACAGGUGGUGCAUGGGUUGUCGUCAGCUCGUGUCGUGAGAUGUUGGGGUUUAAGUCCCCGCACGAGCGCACCCCUUUAUUGUUACUGCAAUCAUCAGUUGGGGCACCUCUAGCAGACUGACGAUUGACAAACCCGGAGGAAGGGUGGGGG